rnacentral:rRNA from 1 species
UACGUAGGGUGCAAGCGUUAAUCGGAAUUACUGGGCGUAAAGCGUGCGCAGGCGGUGAUGUAAGACAGUUGUGAAAUCCCCGGGCUCAACCUGGGAACUGCAUCUGUGACUGCAUUGCUGGAGUGCGGCAGAGGGGGAUGGAAUUCCGCGUGUAGCAGUGAAAUGCGUAGAUAUGCGGAGGAACACCGAUGGCGAAAGCAAUCCCCUGGGCAUGCACUGACGCUCAUGCACGAAAGCGUGGGGAGCAAACAGG